GGGAAGUGAAGUGUUUUUAAACGGUCAGGAUCGCAUCUUUGGAAUCAUACGGAGAAAAUUGCGGGGCGUAGUAUGCUGUCGCGGUCGCGAGGUUACUUCUCAUCACCGUUCGGGCAAGCGGACGUACUAUGAAUUGUCGAUCGAGGUUGUUGAUCGGGCUCUCCGGAAACCAGCCAAGUAGCUUACGUGAUCAGUGACCGCACCGCACCUCUCGUACAUAUGUCGUGUGCGCGCCGUUCAUCUCGAUAAGACCCACUUAGGUCCUCACGCUCACGCCGGCAGAUUUGUUACAUCUGGACGGACGGCGUCGCCACUUGCACUCGCACGCUGCAACAUACUAGCUGCCUCCACUCCUCCGCACACUAGCGCCGCUGUCCAGCUGAUUUGCUUCGAGAUGGACAUGUGCAUGGGCAUGGCCAAGCUGCUGCUGCUGCUGCUCCUCGUGGUCACCGCCGGCCACGGCCACGCGGCGGCGGCGGCGGGGAAGGAGAGGAACACUAUCACGCACGUCAAGGGGUUCGACGGCCCGCUGCCCUUCGCCCUGGAGACCGGGUACGUGGAGGUGGACGAGGCGCACGGCGCCGAGCUCUUCUACUACUUCAUCCAGUCGGAGCGCAGCCCGCGGGAGGACCCGCUCAUCCUCUGGAUCACCGGCGGCCCCGGCUGCUCCGCGCUCUCCGGGCUCCUCUUCGAGAUCGGGCCCCUCAAGUUCGACGUGGCGGGGUACACCGAGGGCUUCCCGCGCCUCGUCUACUUCGAGGACUCGUGGACCCGGGUCAGCAACGUCAUCUUCCUCGACGCGCCCGUCGGCACCGGCUUCUCCUACGCGCGCGAGGAGGAGGGCCUCGACGUCAGCCUCACCGGCACCGGCACGCACCUCCGGGUCUUCCUGCAGCGGUGGAUCGCGGAUCAUCCUGAGUUCGCCUCCAACCCGCUCUACAUCGGCGGCGACUCCUACUCCGGGUACACCGUCCCCGUGGCCGCGCUCGAGAUCGCCGACCAGCCGGAUAAGGGAGGCCUGAACCUCAAGGGCUACCUGGUGGGCAACGCCGGCACCGACGACAAGUACGACUCCGGCGGCAAGAUCCCCUUCAUGCACGGCAUGGGGCUCAUCUCCGACGAGCUCUACGAGGCGGCGAAGGGUAGCUGCGGCGGGGACUUCGUGACGACGCCCCGGAACGCGCAGUGCGCCAACGCGCUGAUGGCGAUCACCAUGGCCACCUUCGCCGUCAACCCGGUGCACAUCCUCGAGCCCAUGUGCGGGCUGGCGCUGCGCCCUCCGACCCCGGUCAGCAGCAUCCUCUCCACGGGCACGAGGAGACGGUCGGCGAGGCUGCUGGUGCAGGAGGCGGACCGGCUGGCGCUCCCGGUGGAGUGCCGGGACAACGGGUACCGGCUGUCGUACGCCUGGGCGGACGACGCGGAGGUGAGGGCGACGCUGGGCAUCCGGGAGGGGUCGGUCGGCGCGUGGAGCCGGUGCGUGACGCUGACGCAUUUCCGGCACGACGUGGCCAGCACCGUGCCCUACCACACCAACCUGACGCGGCGCGGCUACCGGGCGCUGGUGUACAACGGCGACCACGACAUGGACAUGACCUUCGUGGGCACGCAGGCGUGGAUCCGGACGCUAGGGUACCCCGCGGUGGCGCCGUGGCGGCCGUGGUACGCCAACCGGCAGGUCGCGGGCUUCACGACGGAGUACGCCCACAACCUCACCUUCGCCACCGUCAAGGGCGGCGGCCACACCGCGCCCGAGUACCGCCCCAAGGAGUGCCUCGCCAUGCUCGACAGGUGGACCUCCGCCGACGGCAGGCUCUGAGCCUCUGAUCCGGCUCACCACUCCGUUGCCAUCGCUCGGAGUACUAUAUACUGCCUACGAGUACAAAUGAGUGUACCGUAUGUAUAAUUCGAUUUGGACCAGGGCUAGCUGUUCACAUCAUUUCAUGUACGGUGUCGUACUAUUGAUUGAAGUGCCAUGCGCACCAGCGCACGAGAGGACGAAGACAUAAAUAAAAGUCAGAAAAACCUGGAGAGUUCCAUGGAGUCUUUCCAUGCAUGGGGUCGAGACCACGUACCUAGUACGUACGUCUACAUACAGUCAGUUAGCGAAAACAGACGAGCCAUGAGACGAAAGAGUGAGCAACCCCAUUCUCUUCUCGUACUUGCGUUCCCGUGACCGGAUGGGUAUGAAUGAAGAUAAACCGGGAUGACAUAGCAGAUUAUGAUGGUGUGCAACAGCGACGAAGACGAAGGAUAUGUCCACCAUUGUUUGUACUAAUGAAAAAUGGUUCUAUUGCAUUAAUGGCCCUAAGUUUUACGUGACACUUCCC
rnacentral:rRNA from 1 species